AAACCAUGAUGAGGGCAGUCUCUCUCAUACUCCUUGAAUCGCUCUCAGGCUUCAUAUAAUGAUUCUGUUGGGCCUUGUUGGAAGAUUUGUAUCUUGUUUCUUAGCU
rnacentral:snoRNA from 1 species